rnacentral:rRNA from 1 species
CAGCCGCGGUAAUACGUAGGCAGCAAGCGUUGUUCGGAAUUACUGGGCGUAAAGAGUGUGUAGGCGGUGUUCUAAGUCUGUUGUGAAAUCUCCCGGCUCAACUGGGAGGGUGCGGCGGAGACUGGAAUGCUAGAGUAUGGGAGAGGUAAGCGGAAUUCCUGGUGUAGCGGUGAAAUGCGUAGAUAUCAGGAGGAACACCUGUGGUGUAGACAGCUUACUGGACCAUGACUGACGCUGAGACACGAAAGCGUGGGUAGCAAACAGGAUUAGAUACCCUGGUAGUCCACGCCCUAAACGAUGCAUACUUGGUGUGAGCCAUUCAUUUGGUUCGUGCCGGAGCUAACGCGUUAA